UACCAGACUCCUACGGGAGGCAGCAGUGGGGAAUAUUGCACAAUGGGGGAAACCCUGAUGCAGCGACGCCGCGUGAGCGAUGAAGUAUUUCGGUAUGUAAAGCUCUCUCAGCAGGGAAGAAGAUGACGGUACCUGACUAAGAAGCCCCGGCUAACUACGUGCCAGCAGCCGCGGUAAUACGUAGGGGGCAAGCGUUAUCCGGAUUUACUGGGUGUAAAGGGAGCGUAGACGGCGAUGCAAGCCAGAUGUGAAAGCCCGGGGCUCAACCCCGGGACUGCAUUUGGAACUGUGUGGCUGGAGUGUCGGAGAGGCAGGCGGAAUUCCUAGUGUAGCGGUGAAAUGCGUAGAUACUAGGAGGAACACCAGUGGCGAAGGCGGCCUGCUGGACGAUGACUGACGUUGAGGCUCGAAAGCGUGGGGAGCAAACAGGAUUAGAUACCCUGGUA
rnacentral:rRNA from 1 species